AAUGAACGUUGGCGGCGUGGAUUAGGCAUGCAAGUCGAGCGGAAAGGCCCCGCAAGGGGUACUCGAGCGGCGUAAGGGAGAGUAACGCGUGGUUUAUCUACCCUCAGGCCCGGGAUAGCUGCGGGAAACCGCAAUUAAUACCGGAUAACAUCUCCGGAUCAAAGGUGUGAUUCCGCCUGUGGAUGAGACCGCGUCCUAUUAGCUAGUUGGCAGGGUAAUGGCCUACCAAGGCAAUGAUGGGUACUGGGUGUGAGAGCAUGACCCAGCUCACUGGGACUGAGACACUGCCCAGACACCUACGGGUGGCUGCAGUCGAGGAUCUUCGGCAAUGGGCGCAAGCCUGACCGAGCGACGCCGCGUGUGGGAUGAAGGCCUUCGGGUUGUAAACCACUGUCAGAGGGGAUGAAAUGCAUGAGGGUUCUCUCUCAUACUUGACAUAUCCUCAGAGGAAGUACGGGCUAAGUUCGUGCCAGCAGCCGCCGUAAAAC
rnacentral:rRNA from 1 species